GAACAGCUUAAUAAUCAACCUUCUGAAUUAUUUAUUUCGCAAUUCAGAGACUUCUUCUUAGUUUGGAUCCAUUGCUGGGAAGCUAGUGUGGUCUUUCGGGGAUGUUAUAGAACCUUGUUUUGUCUUAUUACCAGAAUUACUUUGCUGAUUCAUUUUCA